rnacentral:rRNA from 1 species
GACGAACGCUGGCGGCGCGCCUAACACAUGCAAGUCGAACGGAGCUGAGAGAAGCUUGCUUUUCUUAGCUUAGUGGCGAACGGGUGAGUAACGCGUGAGUAACCUGCCCUGGAGUGGGGGACAACAGUUGGAAACGACUGCUAAUACCGCAUAAGCCCACGGCCCGGCAUCGGGCUGAGGGAAAAGGAUUUAUUCGCUUCAGGAUGGACUCGCGUCCAAUUAGCUAGUUGGUGAGGUAACGGCCCACCAAGGCGACGAUUGGUAGCCGGACUGAGAGGUUGAACGGCCACAUUGGGACUGAGACACGGCCCAGACUCCUACGGGAGGCAGCAGUGGGGGAUGUUGCACAAUGGGGGAAACCCUGAUGCAGCGACGCCGCGUGGAGGAAGAAGGUUUUCGGAUUGUAAACUCCUGUCGUUAGGGACGAUAAUGACGGUACCUAACAAGAAAGCACCGGCUAACUACGUG